GGCUUGGUGGUCUAGUGGUAUGAUUCUCGCUUAGGGUGACACCCGAAAGCAAAUAUGCGAGAGGUCCCGGGUUCAAUCCCCGGCCAAGCCC